UGGGGAAUAUUGGACAAUGGGCGAAAGCCUGAUCCAGCCAUGCCGCGUGUGUGAAGAAGGUCUUCGGAUUGUAAAGCACUUUAAGUUGGGAGGCGUUACCGACAGAAUAAGCACCGGCUAACUCUGUGCCAGCAGCCGCGGUAAUACAGAGGGUGCAAGCGUUAAUCGGAAUUACUGGGCGUAAAGCGCGCGUAGGUGGUUCGUUAAGUUGGAUGUGAAAGCCCCGGGCUCAACCUGGGAACUGCAUCCAAAACUGGCGAGCUAGAGUACGGUAGAGGGUGGUGGAAUUUCCUGUGUAGCGGUGAAAUGCGUAGAUAUAGGAAGGAACACCAGUGGCGAAGGCGACCACCUGGACUGAUACUGACACUGAGGUGCGAAAGCGUGGGGAGCAAACAGGAUUAGAUACCCGGGUAGU
rnacentral:rRNA from 1 species